GGCUUCAAAGCUCAGUUGGUCGAGCAUUGCACCGGUGUCGCAGAGGUCACGGGUUCGAAUCCCGUUGAAGAACUG
rnacentral:tRNA from 1 species